GCCCCGGUAGCUCAGCUUGAACCCUUUUGAUCUCUGAGAUUUAAUCUGUCAAAUGGUUCCUGAUAGGUAGAGCGACUGACUGUUAAUCAGUAGGCCCGAAGUUCAAAUCUUCGCCGGGGCG
rnacentral:tRNA from 1 species